rnacentral:rRNA from 1 species
GAUGAACGCUGGCGGCGUGCCUAAUACAUGCAAGUCGAGCGAACAGACGAGGAGCUUACUCCUCUGACGUUAGCGGCGGACGGGUGAGUAACACGUGGAUAACCUACCUAUAAGACUGGGAUAACUUCGGGAAACCGGAGCUAAUACCGGAUAACAUGUUGAACCGCAUGGUUCAACAGUGAAAGACGGUCUUGCUGUCACUUAUAGAUGGAUCCGCGUCGCAUUAGCUAGUUGGUAAGGUAACGGCUUACCAAGGCAACGAUGCGUAGCCGACCUGAGAGGGUGAUCGGCCACACUGGAACUGAGACACGGUCCAGACUCCUACGGGAGGCAGCAGUAGAGAAUCUUCCGCAAUGGGCGAAAGCCUGACGGAGCAACGCCGCGUGAGUGAAGAAGGUCUUCGGAUCGUAAAACUCUGUUAUUAGGGAAGAACAAAUGUGUAAGUAACUAUGCACGUCUUGACGGUACCUAAUCAGAAAGCCACGGCUAACUACGUG